GGGCAUGUAGCUUAGUGGUAGAGCACUUGUCUCAUGCACAAGAGCCAGUCAAUCCCC
rnacentral:tRNA from 1 species